UAGGUCCAGGUAAUGAUGUGUGUUC
rnacentral:piRNA from 1 species